rnacentral:rRNA from 1 species
UUAUACUAACAUACCACCCUGAACAUACUCGCUCUUGUCUGAUUUUGGAAGCUAAGCAGGACCAGACCUGGUUAGGAGCUGGAUAGCAGAUCUCCAGGUGGGGAUACG